rnacentral:rRNA from 1 species
AACGAACGCUGGCGGCAGGCCUAACACAUGCAAGUCGAGCGAAGCCUUCGGGCUUAGCGGCGGACGGGUGAGUAACGCGUGGGAACGUGCCCUUUGGUACGGAAUAGCCCCGGGAAACUGGGAGUAAUACCGUAUGUGGUCGAGAGACGAAAGAUUUAUCGCCAAAGGAUCGGCCCGCGUUGGAUUAGGUAGUUGGCGGGGUAAUGGCCUACCAAGCCGACGUUCCAUAGCUGGUUUGAGAGGAUGAUCAGCCACACUGGGACUGAGAAACGGCCCAGCAUCCUACGGGAGGCAGCAGUGGGGAAUCUUAGAAAAUGGGGGAAACCCUGAUCUAGCCAUGCCGCGUGAUCGAUGAAGGCCUUAGGGUUGUAAAGAUCUUUCAGUGGGGAAGAUAAUGACUGUACCCACAGAAGAAGCCCCGGCUAACUCCGUGCCAGCAGCCGCCGUAACAC